rnacentral:rRNA from 1 species
UACGAAGGGGGCUAGCGUUGCUCGGAAUGACUGGGCGUAAAGGGCGCGUAGGCGGUUCAUACAGUCAGAUGUGAAAUUCCUGGGCUCAACCUGGGGGCUGCAUUUGAUACGUGUGGACUAGAGUGGGGAAGAGGGUCGUGGAAUUCCCAGUGUAGAGGUGAAAUUCGUAGAUAUUGGGAAGAACACCUAUAGCGAAGGCAGCUUACUGGGCUGUAACUGACGCUGAGGCACGAAAGUGUGGGGAUCAAACAGG